rnacentral:rRNA from 1 species
GGUGAAAGGCUUGCUGCCUGAAGAUGAGCUCGCGUCUGAUUAGCUAGUAGGUGUGGUAAGAGCGCACCUAGGCGACGAUCAGUAGCUGGUCUGAGAGGAUGAUCAGCCACACUGGGACUGAGACACGGCCCAGACUCCUACGGGAGGCAGCAGUGGGGAAUUUUCCGCAAUGGGCGAAAGCCUGACGGAGCAAUACCGCGUGAGGGAGGAAGGCUCUUGGGUUGUAAACCUCUUUUCUCAGGGAAGAACACAAUGACGGUACCUGAGGAAUAAGCAUCGGCUAACUCCGUGCCAGCAGCCGCGGUAAUACGGAGGAUGCAAGCGUUAUCCGGAAUGAUUGGGCGUAAAGCGUCCGCAGGUGGCUGUGUAAGUCUGCUGUUAAAGAGCAAGGCUCAACCUUGUAAAGGCAGUGGAAACUACACGGCUAGAGUGCGUUCGGGGCAGAGGGAAUUCCUGGUGUAGCGGUGAAAUGCGUAGAGAUCAGGAAGAACACCGGUGG